UCCAGGAAGCGGUCAUUCGCUCCUUUCCUUUAGGGGAUUGGAGAGGAAAGUCCGGACAUCGUAGGGCAGGAUUCCCCGUGAAAGUGGGGGAAGCUCGCCUAAAAGCGAGCUCACGGCCAGUGCCACAGAAAACAAACCGCCUCCCUUGGGGGGUAAGGGUGAAAAGGUGGGGUAAGAGCUCACCGCCGCGAGAGCAAUCAAGCGGGCAUGGUAAACCCAAUCCGAUGCAAGACGAAAUAGGGGACCGGGCUGCUCGUCCAAUGGUUCCGGGUACGUCGCGUCCCGCUUUGGCGGGAACCGAGGUCAACUCGAUAGAUGAAUGAAUGACAAAUUCAGCCUACGGGCAGAAUUUACAGAAUCCGGCUUACAGCUUCCUGGAAUCC
rnacentral:RNase_P_RNA from 1 species